rnacentral:rRNA from 1 species
AUAUAAUUAAGCGAAGGAAUAGACAAUAACAUUUAUUUCCUGAAUAGUGGCGAACGAAAAGGAAAAAGCGCAAAGUGUAAAUCGAACUGUUCAGUUCGAGUUGUACAUAGCUAUCAAUGACACCCAAAACUAAAUGGAGGCGCUUGGAAAGGCCCCCCACUGGCGGUGAAAGGCCGCAACAUUUAGAGGAGGGGUUAUUUGGUAGCAAGCGGAGUCACAUUCUUCGGGCGUAGAAUGUAAAUCGGGUGGUAACUAUCAUCCAACGCUAAAUAUGGCAAGGAGACCGAUAGCGCACAAGUA